UCCCAUUCCGUCCGCUUCCCAAAAUUUCACCACCGCCACAAGCGAAGAUCCCCCUUCUUCUCCGGUUCUCCCGUCCCCAAAAUUUCUCUGGCUUCCUCGCCCCCACACUCCCCACCGGCGCAUCCCCGAGGAGAACCCCAGAGCUUCCCCCCAGCGCGGCCGUCCCAUCCUAUUCCCUCCCUCCGCCACCCGCCUAGCGUGUGCGCACGUGCGAUGCUGCCUCCACGGCGGCGGCCACGCGCGGCGCGGUGACUGAGAUGGUGCGCUUCUUCCGCAGCGGGAACCUCGCCUCCAGGGUCUUCGACCGCCAGCUUCUCUCCCCGCGCCCCGGCGCUACGGUUAACACUGUUAGACAGUUCUAUGAGAAUUUGGUUCCAAGCUACACGAUAUAUGACAUAGAUUGCCCAGACUAUUCGUUUCGCAAGUUCACUGAUGAUGGGAAAUAUCUUGUGGCUUUUAGCCGAAACCACCAAGAUUUGAUUGUAUACCGCCCCAUCUGGUUGACAUAUUCAUGCACUGAAGAAUGUGAUUCUCAUGAUCUUCCACCAAAAGCAAAGAAGUUUGAUAGCUUCUUUAAGCAGCUCUACUCAAUUCCACUUGCAUCCAGCAAUGAAUACAUUUGCAAGGACUUUUUCCUGUACAUGGAUUGCCAUCAAUUUGGCUUAUUUGCAACAUCAACCGCACAAAGUAAUGAUUCAACUGCCACUGAGGGUGCAAUACAUGGCGUGCCAUCAAUUGAGAAAAUAACUUUCUAUCUUGUGAGGCUAGAAGAUGGCGUCAUACUGGAUGAAAAGGCUUUCUGCAAUGAUUUUAUCAAUCUGGCACAUAGUAUUGGUGCUUACUUGUAUGAGGACCUGCUAUGUAUUGUUUCUCUGAGAUAUCAAACAAUACAUAUCCUACAGAUCCGAGAUUCUGGCAACCUUGUUGACGUACGCAGAAUUGGCGCUUUCUGCCGGGAAGAUGAUGAGCUAUUUCUUCACUCACAUGUUCAGGCUGGUUUUGGGGGUUCUUUUCUUCCGGGCAUCAAGCAACGGUUGUUGUCGUAUAUUUUUCGCAAAACAUGGAACGAAGUUCCAGAUCAGACUUUGAGGGUCCAGCAUCUCAAGAAGAAGUUCUAUUUUCACUUCCAAGACUAUGUUGAUCUUAUCAUAUGGAAGGUACAGUUUUUGGAUCGCCAUCACCUAUUUAUCAAGUUCGGUAGUGUGGAUGGAGGGGUUUCUCGAAGCACAGAUCAAAACUUAGCAUUCUUUGCCGUGUAUAACAUGGAGACAACUGAUAUCGUUUCGCUUUACCAGAAUUCAUCGGAGGAGCUCUAUUCCUUGUUUGAACAAUUUUAUGACCAUUUUCAUGCCAAUCCACAAGAUUCAUCGCAUGGAAAAUUUAUCUCGUCGCACUCCAAUGAUAUUCAUGCUCUUGAUCAACUUCACACACUAAAAAAUAAAGCAAGCAGCUCCUCACAGUUUGUAAAAAAGAUGAUGGCAUCGUUGCCUUACACAUGCCAAUCACAGAGUCCUUCACCAUACUUUGAUCUAUCCCUUUUUAGGUAUGAUGAGAAGUUCCAUGAGCCCUGUAAUCAUCUUGGCUUCCAUAUAAGAUAAAAGUCUGAUUUCAGCAAUUGAUCGGCACCGGCAUUGCACAGAGCAUCCAAUAAAAUUUAUAUCAGUGAGGUCACCAAAUGUUGUCAAAUUUAAGAUCAAGCCAGGUUCGGAUUCUGGUGCUUCUGACAGCAGAGCGAAAAGAAUCUCAUCCUUCUUGUUUCACCCAUUUUUUCCACUUGCACUUUCAAUUCAGCAGACUUAUAUGCAGCCAACUGUUGUCAAUAUCCAUUUCAGGAGAUAGGAAAAGUAUAGGUGUUGCCCUAAUUGUAUUUGUACCAUCAGUGUGCUUGCAGCACUGCUUGCUGCAAAAUUUUGGCCAUCUGUAGGAUGAUGUUUAGAUGGUGGAUGUUAUAAUGGGGGUUGGGUAACAAGAGAUCUGUUGUUGGGAACUGAUAAUGACUUAUUUGGUUUCCCUUCCAAACAAGAACAACAUGUAAAGAGGCUCGUUAUUCAUCUUGGUCUGGCUUCA